rnacentral:rRNA from 1 species
GCGAGAAACCUCCGCAAUACACGAAAGUGUGACGGGGUUACCCAAAGUGUUCAAUAGAACUGUGGUAGGUGAGUAAUGUUCCCUACUAGAAAGGAGAGGGCAAGGCUGGUGCCAGCCGCCGCGGUAAAACCAGCUCUUCAAGUGGUCGGGAUAAUUAUUGGGCUUAAAGUGUCCGUAGCCGGUUUAGUAAGUUCCUGGUAAAAUCGGGUAGCUUAACUAUCUAUAUGCUAGGAAUACUACUAUACUAGAGGGCGGGAGAGGUCUGAGGUACUGCAGGGGUAGGG